UCUAGGACUUUAAAGAUUGUUGGUAUGUUCCUUUCCGAAGUCUUGAUGGAGAGGGUCUGCCUUCUGCAUUCUUUAAAAAGAUAUAAUUGACUAGGU
ensembl:miRNA MIR9833 microRNA mir-9833